CCUGUGUUUAGUGUGUUAGGAAGGCAUCCAAGGAUGGAUGCGGGAAAUGAAGAAAUGAUAGUCCUGGUAGCUUGAUGAUGGAAGGAAAGCUCAAUUGAAACAAAUUUGAGAACAUGUUUGUGUCUGUUUCAGACUGCAUAGCAGAGGGUAUUGUUCCUGGAAAACAUAUGAGUUGUUCAUCUCAAUGGAAACAUUUCUACUAUGAGUCUAGGAGGGGAUUAAAAUCAGCUCAUGUAAUGCUAUCUUUGAAAAAGACUGAAGCCCAAAUACAGGAACAAGCUCCUGAGAAAUUCUUCAUAGCAAUACAGAAAAGAGAUGAACUAUCAGUGAUGAAGGUUCUUCAAGCUGGUUCUGGUCUAAGAACAUGCUUCCCAC
rnacentral:lncRNA from 13 species